CUGGGCUUUUUCUGGCUUUGAUGAGGUAAGGUGCUGUAUUGUGAGAGGGUCUGUGAGAUCACAAGGUCAGGAGCUGAGAUCCAGUCCUGGCCAACAUCCAGCAAGAGAGCAGGAUCUCGGUCCAACAGCAGUAUGGAAUGGAACUUAAUUCUGACAACCACUUAGGUUGGUGGAAAACUUCGAACUUUAGUAAGAAAUGCAGCCCCACUGAUAUCUCAUUUGCAGCCUGUGAGACCCUUAGCAGAGGACCCAGCUAAAUUGUGCCUGGUCUCCUGAUUCACAGAAAUAUUAUGAAAAAGUAUGAUUUUAAGCAACUACAUUUAUGGUAACUUAUUACACAGCAAUAAAAAACAAAUGUAAUAAUUUAUUCAGAAGUUUUAUAUACCACUGAUUCUAAUAGAACCAUACAGACACUUUCUAGGAUCUAGGCUUAGGUAGAUAUAUUCCUGGGGCUCUUUCAAUUCUGAAACUUUGGGCUCAGGAGCUAUUUCCAAUAAUGAUUAAAAAAAAGUGAAAGAAGACACUACAAAAUGAAGAGAAAGGCAGAGAAGGGUAAAAAUAAAUGCAGAAACCAAAAAGAGGGAGAUACUAGAAUUACAUUUGUUUCUCUGGCAUUCCAAAUAUGUCUCGCAUUGAAGUAUCACAUUAUAGAACUGGAGAUAGCACAAAAAUAAAGGAGACUUCAAUAAUCUAGAACAAGUAAGUGCCUAUCCUAUUUAUUUUUAAAAAUAUUAAAUUUCUAAUUUAAGCCAGGCAUGCAACUAAGUGCUUCCUAGAAAUAAAUUUUGUCCCUGCUUUCA
rnacentral:lncRNA from 1 species